CAGAUUUCCACUUAAUCAUCUCUCUGUAGAUAUCUUUUAGGAGGCCAAAUCACAUGGGAGUCUCUUCCCCCAUAUUUCCUCUCAUGGCCCAAAUAUCCCUCUCCAAAGAUCCAGAUGCAAAAUGCAAAAGAGAGAACAAUUACGACAAUUUAUGCCUGAUGUCAGAUCUGAAAAGAGAUCUGACCCAGAGAGGAAGUCAACAUGAUAGCAGGAGAUGGAAAUGCUGGAUUUUGAAAUGAAUGGAUUGUGUCACAGAUGGUAGACCAACAAGCAAAGAGGCACAACCCAGUUAGAGUCUCACUGCACAGCUUCCCCGAACUUUUCCCAGUCUGAAAAAUCAGUGUCAAAGAUGGCCACGUUGAGUUCUGGAGAUCAGUCAUCCUGGAGGUCCAGCAGAAAAGCAAUGAGAUAAUAAGGCAAAAAAUGAAAUAAAAGAGAUACUGUAACCCAAAGUAAAAGAAUUAAACCACCUUAAAGCAAUGGAGUAGUUAUAAAGGACAAGGAUGGAGACGCGCCACAUAAAGCUGGAGAAAAGGACUCCAGUGCGAUGAAAGGGAAACGCAGAAGCAGUGGAGGGAGGACAGCACUCGACCCAGUAAAGCACUGGAGGAGGCUGGACGCAGAAGACACUCGGACUCCCGGGUGGUGAGUCAAACCCUGCAAUAACCCAGUUCUAAUUACACACAAGUCUCAUCUGCGCUAUUUGUUUAAUUUUAGUCUCUUCUGCAAAUACAGAAAAAGCUGUUUUUCUUUUGACACAAUUAUCUUUGCCCAUCCAGAAGCUUUCGGAAUGUCCCUUUGAAAGGUCUGUAAACCUUACCACAGGUCCAGAAGUACGAAGUGAGCCAUCUUUUGAAUUUUAGACAAGAAAACUUCCCAUCAAGGCUUUGAAUCUAUAGGCCAGAAGCCCUGAGCUGCCACAAGAAAGCACUUUGGUUCUCAAUGUCAGGUUGGAUAGUGAUACUUCUUUGACCUUGGAAGGGGACAACCCACCACUAGGCUGAAUAUAAUUUAAUCCAGGCGUCAACUCUUGGGUUGGCAAGCAACAGAGCAGAGUGUCUGUAGUGAACUUAGUUUGAACUAAGGGAUUCAGAAUCUGUAGGCAAGUGUUGAUAGAUGCCCCAAAGUCAGGUAGAUUUAUGACAAGUGGUCUGAAUAGAACAUAUCAGGCAAAAGACAGGGAGAGAAAAUAAGGAAGUCAGCUGAGAGAGAGAAAACCAAAAGUGAAGGUAGAAAACCAUGAAGGAGGCAAAAAAAAAAAAAAAUCAAUAAA